rnacentral:rRNA from 1 species
UACGAAGGGGGCUAGCGUUGCUCGGAAUCACUGGGCGUAAAGCGCACGUAGGCGGAUUGCUAAGUCAGGGGUGAAAUCCUGGAGCUCAACUCCAGAACUGCCUUUGAUACUGGCGACCUUGAGUCCGGGAGAGGUGAGUGGAACUGCGAGUGUAGAGGUGAAAUUCGUAGAUAUUCGCAAGAACACCAGUGGCGAAGGCGGCUCACUGGCCCGGUACUGACGCUGAGGUGCGAAAGCGUGGGGAGCAACAGG